UACGUAGGUGGCAAGCGUUGUCCGGAAUUAUUGGGCGUAAAGCGCGCGCAGGCGGUCUUUUAAGUCUGAUGUGAAAGCCCACGGCUCAACCGUGGAGGGUCAUUGGAAACUGGGGGACUUGAGUGCAGAAGAGGAAAGUGGAAUUCCAAGUGUAGCGGUGAAAUGCGUAGAGAUUUGGAGGAACACCAGUGGCGAAGGCGACUUUCUGGUCUGUAACUGACACUGAGGCGCGAAAGCGUGGGGAGCAAACAGG
rnacentral:rRNA from 1 species